ensembl:lncRNA novel transcript
GCAAAGGGCGGACCGAAGACCCGGGCGCCGGGCAGAGGCUGGAGGGGGGCCCGGGUGGGGUGAAUCCCCAGUGGGUGCCCGCUCCCCACCCCCACCGCGACCACCAGCCCCCGCUCCGAGCAGGGACUCCGAGGCUUGCGGGUGACCCUCGAGUGGUGGCCGCCCUGUGGCCCAGAGAGCCCCGUCGCAGGCAGGUGGGUGAGCGCAGAAAGACGCUGGCCCUGGACUGCCGUUUGAGGGGUGAGGGGCCAGAUACCCCUCCCUGGCUCUGGGGGGAUCCUCCCAAAGGCCAGACCGGGGUAGGGGGGAGAGCGGACCCUGCUCAACGGCUGGGAACGGUCUCUCCAGAAGGAUCCCCCGGGAGUGGGUGGAGGGGGUCUCUGGAGAGGUGGGUGCCCUGCAGCCUCCUCAGGCCAGGCCACUCCCGGCCCCUCACUGGUGCAGAGCAGCCGGCUUGGGGUUUGGGAAGACCGCAGCCCCAGGGAGGCGGGGAGGGGCGCUGGGCCUGGAGGGGGAGUGUGUGGCCUGAGAGCCGGUGGCCCCCACCAGCCACAUUACAGUAAGCCUUUCUGGGCCCCAGCACCGCCCCCCACUCCCCUGCAGGACCUGGGCCCUUCUGCCCCCCGACCCCCAGGGCCCACCUGGCACAGGCUCAGUCCACACCCGCGUGCUGGUCACGGGCAUAUGAGGAGGAGGGCAGGGCCACUGGGCCAGGGCCCUCCACCCUGAGUCACCCCACUGACGACCACCCUUCCCAGGUGGCAGGCAGAGUCCCCACCCCAGGCCUGCGGGGUCUGGGAGUCUGAAAAGGGACAGAGCCGGACCGGGGGGCUGAGGGAGCAGCAGGGGCAGGCUGAGGAGAGCACCCCACUGAAGGCCACACCCUUUGAGUCAUCCUGUGGUGGCCAAAGGCCCAGCCCCCUCCUCACAGCUCAGCACGCUGAAGAAGUCUCAGGGUGCCUCACCUCACCCAGCCCCCAGGUCAGCUGAGGACAUGGCUGAGGCGCCAAGACCGCCUGCCACUCUGGAGCCAGCCACAGACAGGCAGCGCCAGGGAGGUGUACAGGCAAAGGCACUCUGUCCAGCGGGCACCACUGGCGGUGGACGCGACGGGAAGGGGCCUGCACUCUUGGGGUGGGUGAGCCUGGGGUGAGAGUCCAGGGGGCACAACCUUGAGAACAGUGUCCUCGGGGGGCUGCUGGUGCCCGCCCCUGAAGCUCUGGAAAAACAACAGAAGGCUGCAUGGAGAGGCCAGGAGAACACGCACAGACUCAGUGACCAGAGGGGCCACCAAUAGGUGACCCCAUCCCCGGGGGUCUGCUGUGCCCCGGCCUCGGUGCUGGCUGGGAAGAAACAGGAUGUCUCCAAACCGUGCCUCCUCCGUGGGAGAGGCCGGCCCCCUGCCCCGGCUCCCCAGGACCUGCCCGAGACCCUCCUGGGAUUACCCAGGACCUGCCCGAGACCCUCCUGGGAUUAAGUUGCAGUGUAUCCUGGUGGGGAUGUGCUGGCCCAGUGACAAAGGGGCCACAGCCUGAAGGAGCCCGGGACCCGAAGCCGUGCCCAGCCAGAUAAGCUGCAUGUGGUGGACGGCGGAGAGCUGACGGGUUGUGGGCCCUUUUCUGAGGACUAGGACCCCAGGAGGCGGUGUCCUCUGCUGCUCUGUUUCACGGCCCAGAGGCUCCUGGAGUGUGGGACACACGUGAGGAGGGGUGAAUGUCAGAACAGCCACCGCAGACAGGGGCUGAAAGUCAUGUGGCACCACAGAUCCCAGCUGUCCUCUGGAACUGAGAGCAGGGGACGGUCACAGCACUGGACUGGCUGACAGGGACGGGGGUGAUGGCCAGGCAGCAGCAUUUGACCAUCAGUGGCUGUGAAGGCAGCUCUCUAAUGAGUUGCAGGGCUGGAGCGGGCCCAGGGUCAGAGCUGCGUGGGGUUGUGGAGGUGGCUGAUAGAACAGCAUGUUCCUGGGAGAGGGACAGGCAGCCCACAAGAGACUGCUCAGCUUGUUGGAGCAAAAUAUAUUAGGGUUGUGUGAUGCGGAGGUCAAGGGUACUCGCUCCAAUAAAAAGUCAGGGCCGGUC